rnacentral:rRNA from 1 species
UACGUAGGGUGCAAGCGUUGUCCGGAAUUAUUGGGCGUAAAGAGCUCGUAGGCGGUUCGGCAAGUCAGCUGUGAAAUCUCCACGCUCAACGUGGAGGGGUCAGCUGAUACUGCUGUGACUUGAGUCCGGUAGGGGAGUGUGGAAUUCCCGGUGUAGCGGUGAAAUGCGCAGAUAUCGGGAGGAACACCAGUAGCGAAGGCGGCACUCUGGGCCGGUACUGACGCUGAGGAGCGAAAGUGUGGGGAGCGAACAGG